GACGAACGCUGGCGGCGUGCUUAACACAUGCAAGUCGAACGGUAAGGCCCUUCGGGGUACACGAGUGGCGAACGGGUGAGUAACACGUGGGUGAUCUGCCCUGCACUUCGGGAUAAGCCUGGGAAACUGGGUCUAAUACCGGAUAGGACUCCUGGCUUCAUGGUUGGGGGUGGAAAGCUUUUGCGGUGUGGGAUGGGCCCGCGGCCUAUCAGCUUGUUGGUGGGGUAAUGGCCUACCAAGGCGACGACGGGUAGCCGGCCUGAGAGGGUGACCGGUCACACUGGGAGUGAGAUACGGCCCAGACUCCUACGGGAGGCAGCAGUGGGGAAUAGUGCACAAUGGGCGCAAGCCUGAUGCAGCGACGCCGCGUGAGGGAUGACGGCCUUCGGGUGGUAAACCUCUUUCAGCUAUGACGAAGCGCAAGUGACGGUAGUAGCAGAAGAAGGACCGGCCAACUACGUGCCAGCCGCCGCAGUAA
rnacentral:rRNA from 1 species